GCAGACACACUCUGUUCUUUGCUGCAGACUCCAGCUCAGGACUUUUUCUGUCUGCUACAUGAAUGUGCAGAAUGGAAUGCAUGACUGGGUUGUGUCAAAUCCUUUCUCACUCUGUUCUGCUACAGCACA